UUUGAGAAAUCACUGCAGCAAGCUGUAAAUGAUGGAGCGACAAGUCUCACUCAUAAAAAGAGAAAGAGCACUGAGCAAGGACUGCUGAGAUGCACUGUUUCUGGAAACAUCUGAUGUGGGUGUGAAAUGUGCUAAGAUAUAGUGGGUGAAGAAUGUCUUUUGCCUUUACCUGGUGCUGGGAAGCCCAGUGACACCUUCUUGUAAAGAGGAUCAACCACAGAAACACCAUAAACUCACAUGUGAUGUGGCACCAUCUCAGGAGUUACCUGAAGGGCUUUGUGCUAUGAAAAGGGUGAAAAUUAUGGUUUCUGGGAGGGGUGGAGCCAGGAAGAGAAGAGCAGUGAAAGGGGAACCCAGGAGGCCUGCCAGAGAAUGGAAGGCAAACUGUCUCCUUCACCUGGGCAGUACCAGGGUGGAAUUUUCAACCAGACCUG